rnacentral:misc_RNA from 1 species
CUUCACCCUACAUGGUAAUAAAAAAUGAGUAAGGAGGUUAGCAGAUGUUCUGAAUGAAUAUCUUACAUACAUAAGAAGCUAAAAAUUGUCUCCCAAGCACAAGAAGGGCAGUAACACACAAAAACUAUGGAAUUGAUUAUGUAUAAGCACUUAAUAGAACAGUGCAAAAGAGCUAUUAAUGCUAUGAGCUACUAAUCAAAGAAGGUAGACUUGUGAUUGGAAGGGCAAUAAAGAGAAUCAGUAAGCAUAGGCAUAUAGGUCAAGUAGAAACUAUCUCAAUAACAUAAAACUAAAUUUCAGAUAGAAAUUGAAGAUGGUCUCAAAGAGAAAGAGGAUCUCUUCAAGAACAAAAGACAAGGAAUCAAUUAAAUUUAAAUCACAAAUGAACUAAUUUUGAUCAUUCCAUCACAUGUCAAAUACAACCACACACACUUCGUCUGUGGUAGAGGUUUCUCCUGAAAGAAGCAAUUAGCUUCUAUGUUUUACUUGAUAGCAAUAAAUAAGUCGCAUGGGUUCAUGGAAUUCAUGUAAAUACAAGAAACGCUACUAUAAAACUAAAAAAGUUGAGUAAAACAGAACUACAAAUGUUUACAAAAGCAGCAUGGUUGCUAAUGAUCUAUCAAGAUGCUUCCUAUCGGAAUUAUGACUCUUUGGCUCAAACAAAACUAAACGAUUUGGCCUUUUCCCUUCACAAACACAUUCCAUCUAACUUAUGCCCUUAUCAAACUUUUAUGAAACUAUGAAAUAAGUGUUUAUCAAACUUCUAUGAAACUAUGAAAUAAGUGUUCUGACACCUAAAGCUUGCCAUAAAUACAGCAGUUAGCAGUUGCUGAUGGUGUCAACUAGCUUGACUAAUGAAGUCUCCAGGCAUUAUUCCAAAAACCUGAGAUGAAUAUCAGCUCACAAUUGGGAUUCGCUAAUCAUUGAACCAAAAACACAUACACACACAAAAAGCUGUAUAUAAAGGAUGAAAGAGGAAGAUGUAAACUCUUCUAUAUGGUAUCAACCCAGCAGGAAGCUGACACAAAACAGUAGGGUCAAGCAAUCUAAUAUUAAAUCAUUCCAUAUUAAGUAAUAAGCAUAAAGAAAACAAACUUUAUUAAAAGAAGUUAAAAAAGUUCAAAUCGUGACAUUUGCAGAAAUCUGCAGAACAGAAGUUUGAUUCAUGUCAUGCCAUUAACUUCCUUAAGUGUAUCUCAAAUCCAUCUCAAUCUGCCAGUCAUCACUUGAAUAAUUUUUCUGAAUAGAAUGAACUCACUUGCCUAACUACCUUUUGGUCUUAAGAAGGCUAUUUUAAGCUUGGCAAGUGCAAUCCAACUACAUUACUAGAUUCAGAAGUUGCUAACUGAAUACCAUCUCUAUUUUGCAUUUGUUGCUUCUGCUGGAAAAGAAAGUACAACUGAGUAAAGGAUGGAUAAUGCAAGAUUUUGACUGAAAAAUCUUUAUAAUUUCUUUGUGUGACUCAGAAAUAAUAGAUGACAGAUCAUAGAUUUAUAAUCAUAUUCCAUUUGAAGGCUGGCAACACUUAAAGGAGCAAUAAUCUCUGCUAGGUAAUAAAAUUCAUUCUGCAACUUAAGCAUGUGCACCUCCAUGACCAAAUCUAAUGCCAACCUUCAAAAUAAAACCCUGGAAAUCCAUAAAUGGCAGAAUCCACUUGUUUUAGGAUAAAGAAAGAUGAGUUGCCCAGUUGUUCUAAUCAAUAGUAAAGAUACAAUGCAUCAGAAUAUCUGACAGAAUCAAAUUUUCUGCAAAAGGAAUUCAUUUUCUUAAUUUUAAGAUGAAACAUUAAAUCAAAAUAAUUCCUAAAUUUAGUUUUCCUUGACUACAUCAUUCUCCCCUCGUUGAAGAAAAAUGGAACUUGAGUUUUGUAAGCUGAAGAAUCAAAUAAAUGCCAACAGCAUGGGAAACAGAAUCUGCUGCUGCUGCUUUGAUAUUUUUCCAUUUUCCAAAAUUGGCUUUCCCCCAUUUAAGGGUCUUCAGGACAGUUCCCAUGAUCUUUUUCUUCUUUCCGUCAAGCAGGCAUUCUGAUACAUACAGCUUAGUAUUUAAACUAAACGAUCCUGGAAAUUGUUGCUAGAAUCUUGAGAUUCGAUUCGAUUCGAUUUCUCAUCCUAACGAUUCGAAUCUAUGAGGUGAAUCUCAAAUGUACCUAAACCGUGACCAAAUCUUAUGAUUCGAUGGUAAAUCGGACAAAUCAAUAUGAAUCUACCGAUUUGGUUGAUUGUUUUUUUUAGAGAGUUGCUAGACUCUAUAGCUUCAAAAUUUAAGAUUU